UGAAAACAUCAUCUAUAUAUCGCCACCAGAGCACCAGUGAGGCCCUCCAGUCAUGACCAUUUGCUUGCCCAGGGUCCAAUCAAAGAAAGCCCUGAGACACUCUAGAGCCCUAAAACACUUUAGUUUGCUGAAAUGCUAUUUUUUACUUUGCAAAAAGUGCAGAUUUCAAAUUUGAAAUUGACACUUUUAGAAAUUAACCUGGUUACACCCCUUGGCUUUCAAGCAGACAACAGGUUAUGUUAAACAAACAAAAUUACAAAGGCA